CGCGACGAGCUGAACGCGUAGCGAAUAUCUCUUUCGCCUUUUACUAAAGAGAUCCGCGAGUUUUGCUCACGCAGUCGCAUAUCCUUCUUUUUGUGGGGCUUUUGCCC
rnacentral:snRNA from 15 species